rnacentral:rRNA from 1 species
GACGGGGCCCGCACAAGCGGUGGAGCAUGUGGUUAAUUCGAAGCAACGCGAAGAACCUUACCAGGCCUUGACAUGCAGAGAACUUUCCAGAGAUGGAUUGGUGCCUUCGGGAACUCUGACACAGGUGCUGCAUGGCUGUCGUCAGCUCGUGUCGUGAGACGUUGGGUUAAGUCCCGUAACGAGCGCAACCCUUGUCCUUAGUUACCAGCACGUUAUGGUGGGCACUCUAAGGAGACUGCCGGUGACAAACCGGAGGAAGGUGGGGAUGACGUCAAGUCAUCAUGGCCCUUACGGCCUGGGCUACACACGUGCUACAAUGGUCGGUACAAAGGGUUGCCAAGCCGCGAGGUGGAGCUAAUCUCAUAAAACCGAUCGUAGUCCGGAUCGCAGUCUGCAACUCGACUGCGUGAAGUCGGAAUCGCUAGUAAUCGUGAAUCAGAAUGUCACGGUGAAUACGUUCCCGGGCCUU